ensembl:lncRNA
UUUUUCUAUUACUUGGAGAUCAUGAUGAAUACAGUACUUGUGAAGCAGAAAUAUUACCCAUUCUCUUUGUUAGCCCUGUCCUUCUUUCGCAUAGAAGUAGACUGCCAGCAGAGUAUUUUUGGUCACCACUGAAUAUCUGCAGUUGAGAUUAGAAGAUGGCUGUCCUGUCAUCAAUCUUUUUAUUUUUAGAAAACUUAGCCAUGGGACAGCAUAUAAGGAGCUGAGGACCGAACCCAGGGUCUUAUGCUUGCUAGCUGAGCUCUCAACUAUUAAGAAGAUAAUACCUCCUAGUAGAUGUCCUGGACCUCAGACUCUUACAAAUUUUCUGCCCCACUCUCUGCAGUGCUAACUGAAUCUUGGGUCUAUGAGUUGUAUUAUAAUAUAUUACAACGUAUUAUGUUGUAGACAUUGACUUUUUAACUUGCAUCCAUAUGUUGCACAAACAAUUGUGAUUUUGUUUACACUAUAGUUUGUGUUAUAUCAAGUAACAUCUAAAAGCAUCACCAUGUGACCAUUAACUGUAAGUCCAUUAGACUCUUCUCAUUAUGGAUGUAUCAAUGUAUAUUUGCAAAUAGCAUUAUUGGGAAAAUAAUACUGACAUUUUGUCUAGCACUGCUGGCCACGCUAAGUAGAACAAGAAAGUGAAGCUAAGAGUUACUUAAUUUUCAAGAUCAACAUGAGGUCUGUUUUUCUUGGAACAUCCUGUUCAGUUUGGCUUUCUUUGUACGACAAAACUCUCUGGUUUAUGGAUACUUAUGAUUGUGUAUGAGGGAUAUCAUACUACAACACUGAUCUUUUGAUAUAAAACUUGAUAUUUAUAUUCUUAUAUAUUAAGAAGAUUAAAAAUUAUUGUACAUUGAAACAACCUGUUCUUUCAACAAUUUAUUCUCUCAUACAAUACUAUUCAUCCUGAAAACAGUUUCCCCUCCCUCCACUCCUUUCAUUUGCACAACCCAAGACCUUAUCUUAUAGAAUCGCAUCAAACUAUAGUUAUUGGGAGGAAUGCUUAGUUUAAUUUUGAUAUUUCAUGCAUGGAUGAUGCUAUCUCCUUAUUCAUGCAAGUUAUUUAUCCUGCUUUAGCUUUGAAUAACAACUAGUAAAUAUAUUAUGUAACUCUAUAUAAUUCUACAGUGAUCUUAGCAUAUUGUAAAUGAUGGCUGUUUAGUGACCCAAACCCAGAGGCCUUAUACAGUUUCCUCUUGGGCCAGGGAUUUGGACAGGGGUGGGCAGUGUUGGUGGUCUCUUCUGCUCUGCAGUCUCAGGAGUGCCCACCUGACCAGGCGGUGAGGUCUCUCUCCCACGGGGUCUGGAGCAGAGAGCUCUUUCUUGAAUUUUUAUUGCAAAAUACUGCGAAUGAUUUUGUGUAGAGUCACAGUUCAUGGGAGAUGUGUGACAGCAAACAUAGGGGAACUAUGUUUCGCAUUUUCCCCAAAGUAAUAUGCCAAACAAUGUACAUCAUGGCCAGAUAGAUGACUCAGUAGUUAAAAGCUUAUGCUGUUUUUUCCAGAAUACCCAGAUAUAAUUCUCAGCAUACACACUGUAGUACAAAACCAUCUGCAACUCCAAUUCCAGGUGUCCAAUUUUCUCAUCCAAUUUCUGUGUACAUACCAGGCACAUACAUAGUACACAGAUAAUCUUAACACUCAGAUAAUAAAGGGAAAUAAAUAACAAAUAUGGAUCUACAUUCAACACGUAUUAUUUUUCUUGUUUUAUAAGAGAGGCUGGACCAAAUAUGAUUCUGUCAACAAGGUCUUAAAAAUGAAAAUCCU